GUCGUCUGGCUGCUCUCCGUUGGAAUCGCAUCACCUCGCUCUAGACAUACUUUUCAUCUUCGUUGUUUAUACUUAAUAAUCCUCUUUUUUAUCUACUCCAGUGUAUUUUUCUUGUUCAUAAGUGUAUCUAUUUCGUUCAGCGCUUUGUAUUUCUUCUGUAUAUUACGUGUUUUUGUGCAUAUUCCAUCGUUUUCGACGCGGCCGUCGACGGACACCACGCCGCUUCGUUCGCCGCUCCCGGGGUCACCCUCAGAAGCCACAUGACGGGCGGUACAACCUGCUGUGUACCGGGCUGUGCCCACACCACUCUCACUGCCAAGCAUGUGUCCUGGAAUCGCUUUCCGAAGAACAGCCAUCUACGCAACAUUUGGGUACAGCGAAUCAACAGGAAAGGUACCACUGGACGGUUCUCUCUGUGGACGCCAACCUCUGACAGCAGAAUAUGCGGCGCUCAUUUUAACGAAACUGGGAGAAAGAAGUACGAGGACAAAGCUCCCCGGUUUUUUCCAACCAGGACAUUUCCGAAGUAUGUUGCGGCCUGCCCAAAGGUCCCAAACAUGAUCUGCGCAAGGAAGCGCCAUGCGCUGCAGCCGCUGCCGGCCUACUUUCUGUCGGACCUUGACCUGGCACAGACCGUGACCCUGCCUGCUAGCCAGGAGCCAGCACAACCCGGCAGCCCCUUGGCCUCCGCUGGUGCCCCUGACACUGAUGAUGUAAUAGCUAGCGACCACCAGUACAGCAUCACAGGAUGUAUCGAUCAAGCCCUGCGUGAUCGCAUCAGGCAGCUAGAGGAGCUCGCUUCUGCAAACGAGAAACUGCGCAAGGACAACGACCGUCUACAGAAAGAAAAUGAAGCUCUGCGGAAGAAAGUAGCCCAUCUUGAGGAGAUGUAUGACAAAGCAGAGGAGGUCAUCGAUGCUACAAUCCCCUUUCAGAACUUCACGCUCACAGCCGUGCAACAGGACCCAAAGAAACUGGCCUUCUACACGGGAUUCGACUCCCUGGAGAGAUUUCUCGCCUUUUACAAGUUUGUUCAGGCAGGUUAUGAAGCUCACAAGGAAAGUCAAGGUCCGCAGAGAAGGUCACCUUAUCUAUCCAUGGAUGAUCAGCUGCUGCUCGUGUUGUCCCGCCUGAGGGUGGGACUUUUGGAGCAGGACCUUGCAUACCGGUUUCGUAUCCACAUCAGCACAGUCAGCCGGGUGUGGACAUUCUGGAUUGGUUACCUAGCGGACUACCUUGCUCAACUCAACUACUGGCCGUCGCGACAGGUUGUGAACAAGCACAUGCCGGAGUGCUUCAUCGAGGCGUAUCCAUCGACGAGAGUCAUUCUGGAUUGCACGGAAAUCUUCAUCGAGACACCUAGCGACUUCAGGGUGCAGAGUGAUACCUACUCAAGCUACAAGUGCCACAACACUGCCAAGGGACUGCUGGGCAUCACCCCCAAUGGGUUCGUGUCGUUCGUGAGCGACCUUGCCCCUGGCCGCGUCUCUGACAAAGCCCUGACCGCAUGUUCCGGGCUAUGCAACCUUCUUGAGCCCGGAGACUCUGUCAUGGCGGACAGAGGCUUUUUGAUCACUGAAGAGGUCGAAGCUGCAGGGGCUAACCUGAACAUUCCACCUUUCCUUGGGGGAAGGCUACAGCUCUCCCUGGAGGACGAAGCGAAAACUAGGGCGAUUGCGAAGGUCCGGAUCCACGUGGAACGAGUGAUUGGACAAAUGAAGUGUUUUCGAAUCUUGAGGGGUACUUUCCCAAACAGUAUGAGCAAGAGCCUGGACUCUAUCUGGAAGGUCUGUGCUUUGCUGUGCAAUUUCACGAGAGAGCCACUGCUCAGUCGAAGCUAGAGCUGCAGUCUUGUGGCUUCGUAGAUGGUCGUGGAGAAAAAAGAGGCCAUAUCUCUCUAUCUAGCUCACUUCAGCUCCGGCAACUUUUUGUGCCCACACGCCCUCAUGACCCAUGACGACCAUUAGCACCGACUACGGCCCUCGGGACUUUCCUCUACCCAACGAAAUGGACUCACAACCCACCGAGGCCACGCUGGCUUCUCCCGCUGUCUGAAGCUUACCGCUCAAUGCACCACCCACAGCCGGUGCAACCACUCCUGCCGUCACGUCGCUUCUUGAUGCACCACUUGUUGCCGCGUGAAUUCAACCUGCGGUCUUUACUCAGAAUCCAUUCUCCAUCCUCGGCGACGAUGAUCCCGAAAGCAAGUUGUCGCCCCUCAACAACAGUUGCCACAUCCGCACUGCCGCCAAUGAAACGAAGCGUGCUCGUGGCAUUUUUUUCUUCGGCGCCGCUGCGACUAAGCUUACCACCUCACCCCGGUGCAUCCAACGUGACUCGAACCCUGACUCGUUCCCCCUGGAGGACGGAUGGCAUCCUGUCUCUCGCCGACGUAAGGCGGCCCCGCCCGCGGCGCCUCCAGCAGCAUCGUUCUGCAUUGCUGCACAGAUAGACCUCAGGUCUCCUACACCAUUGCAGCCCCCUACCAAGUCUCCGUGCAAGGCUACGAGGCCAUUCGCCGUGGCCAGGUUCGCGGAUUCAUAAAAAAAGUCUGGCGACCUGGAUUCUGCGUCCUAAAAAACCUUCAUUGCCGGAAAUCUGCUAUCCUCCAGGCCGGUCCUCUCACAAACUCUGGGUCGGCACUCAUUACAUUCGACGGCACCAGCCUCGCGUUGCCCAGUGCCCCAACAGCACCCAAGCCAACGGCACAACACAGCGUCGUCAGUUGCCUUCAUCAACAUCCAAAGAGAAGCCGGCGUCACCACCAGUGACGCCUGAAACUAGCUCCUGCUCAGCAAGCUGUGCUGUUAUCUGCGCCCAAAGCCCUCAUCGCAGCACCGAGGUCUGCGAAGCAGAAGACUGACUCCCGCCCGGUGCUCGCCACAAAACUCCUAACGCCGGCACACAACAUCACCGCCGACCUCACACAAGUCCCAACAUCAGAACCGCCUCGGACCACCUUCGCAGAAUCAGCGAGAGCUGUCAACAGCACUAGUGAGACGCCUGCCCUACUUCCGUCAGGGUCAGACUUUACUGGCUUGCAACAACAAAUCACCCUUUUCACAAAACAAAUGCUGGCAGCCACGCAGCGAAUUCCGACGAUGCAAAACUCGCUGUUUACUCUCGUGGAUACCUGCACCCGUGCAGUAAUCGGGCGCCUCGCGAUGCAGGGCAUCAUUCCGUUCGGCGGCCCCCCACUAUCACCACGCAAACAUGGUUAGCGCCCCCAGGAUUGUUCAGUGGAACUGUUGCUCGCUUAAACAGAAGAAGGCAGACUUCAUCGAAAAAUUUUAUCUUCACUCGUCAUCCGACAUGGCCGCUGCGUUUGCUCUACAAGAAAUCAACGGCCCCCUCCCUUCUUUGCCACAGUACGAUGGACUUGCUCCGAACAUUGAGACUAGUGCCCCCUUGCCUUGGAUUCGUUCCGCCCUGUACGUUCAUCGAUCAGUGUGCUUCACUCUUCUCGACACCUCACAGAGGUGCUCUGCAAUGACCAGCGUUACGGGUUGCCGCCAAUUCCUCAACGGCCCGUUUUUCUCUUCUCUGUCUAUGUGGCUCCAGACACAUCGCUAAACCGCUGGACAAGGCAGCCGCUAAACAUCCCUUUUUUUAAGCACUUCGCCCGUCUUUAUCCAAAAGACGACGUUCCCGUUUGCGGUGAUCUUAAUGCCAAACACACGCAUGGGGCUACGACAUUGACCUUCCCCACGGCACGCGGCUUCUUGCAGACCUCACAGGGCUGAAACUUUCGUUCCUCAACAUCCCAGACACCCCCACACGUAUCAAACAAUCCUCCCAACAGCAGGACACCUGCCCCGACUUUACCUGUGCUCGUUACCCUCGACGCUGGAGAUGGCAUGUCGCCGGCGACCGCCUCGGCGGUGAUCACCUCCCCAUUAUUUUACGCUACGACUUCCUAUCCGCAACCCUAUCUCACUGUCGCGCCUGCUGCGACACAUUCUUCACUAAGUGGGACAACUUCCGAGCAGCUCUUUCUUCUGUCAUGGAACUUGCUGGCUUUUCCGACAUUAUACAAGCUAUCCAGUCCGCCCACAAGUCUGCCACAAAGCGGCUAACCGUACCGGACGAUGCCGCUUUGACGAGCAUUUACUUACUGGACCGCCGCAUUCACCUGUUGGCCUGUUACCGCCGUUCUCGCAGACCACGACGACUCCUCAAACCUUCACAUAAACUCCAAAAGACUAUCUCGUGCUACACUUCGGAACUCGCUUCCAACUGCUGGACUUCCCUGUGCAGAUCCAUCUCCGGCAAUAGCCAUCUUUCGAAAGUUUGAAGGCUCCUCCGUUCUCUCCUCGGGGACCACAAACCUAGGCAAUUUGCUGCCACUGUUGCCCUUCGCAAAGGUGUCUCUCCCGAGGAGCUAGCUGAACGGGCCUCGGACGUCUUUUUUCCGCAACCAGCGCAACAUGACUCUGGAUGCUACACUUGUGUUCACCCUGUCACCAAGCUCUUGGGAUGGAUUGCCCGUUCACCCUCCACUCGCAGUGCACCUGGCCCCCAACAACGUCACAGUCGGGCAACUUCAGAACCUCCCUACGGCACUCAAGGAAACCAUACUCGCCGAGAUCAACCAGGUGACUCCAGACUACUGAAGCCCCAGGAGUCCCUGAUCGCUGCCACUUGUCUCAUUCGCCCUGGAAGCUCCCGAGAAGAUUAAAAGCUUUUCCUCUUUUUAUGCCCAAACAGCAGGGCAGAUAUGGUGGCCACUUCUUUGGUCGUUAAAUAAAUGUUUCAAAGCAAAGGUAGAUGGUCAUGAUGAAAGAAAUCAAGGACGUUAGGAUUCCUGUCAGAAGUACUCAACGCAAUAAAAUGUUG
rnacentral:misc_RNA from 1 species